AUUGAACGCUGGCGGCAUGCCUAACACAUGCAAGUCGAACGUGAAAGUCCUUCGGGGCGAGUAGAGUGGCGGACGGGUGAGUAACGCGUGGGAAUCUGCCUCGUAGUGGGGGACAACCCGGGGAAACCCGGGCUAAUACCGCAUACGUCCUACGGGAGAAAGGGGGCCUCUGCUUGCAAGCUCCCGCUAUGAGAUGAGCCCGCGUCCGAUUAGCUAGUUGGUAGGGUAAGGGCCUACCAAGGCGACGAUCGGUAGCUGGUCUGAGAGGAUGACCAGCCACACUGGGACUGAGACACGGCCCAGACUCCUACGGGAGGCAG
rnacentral:rRNA from 1 species